UUCCUUCUUCAAAAUCAUGCGAAUGACUAAGCUUUUUAUUUUUGCAGGGAGGCUUUAACGGCCACGCAAUCUCGGACGUGUACGCGUCCGAGAUCCCGGCAGCUCCCUCUUCCCGCGCCGAGGUUUCAAACCCGGCGGUGGGCGGAACUGAGACUCCCAGGAAUCCGACAUCCCCCGCCCGGGAUGUCGGCCCAAGUGCCAA
rnacentral:lncRNA from 1 species